rnacentral:rRNA from 1 species
CCUACGGGUGGCAGCAGUGGGGAAUAUUGCGCAAUGGGCGAAAGCCUGACGCAGCGACGCCGCGUGAGGGAUGAAGGUCUUCGGAUCGUAAACCUCUGUCAGCAGGGAAGAACGGUCACUGUGCUAAUCAGCAGUGAAUUGACGGUACCUGCAAAGGAAGCACCGGCUAACUCCGUGCCAGAAGCCGCGGUAAUACGGAGGGUGCGAGAGUUAAUCGGAAUUACUUGGCGGAAAGCGCGCGUAGGCGGUAUGUCAAGACCAGGGUGAAAUCCCCGCGCUCAACGUGGGAACUGCCUUUGAAACUGGCAAACUGGAGUGUGUGAGAGGAUAGUGGAAUUCCAGGGGUAGGAGUGAAAUCCGUAGAUAUCUGGAGGAACAUCAGUGGCGAAGGCGACUAUCUGGCACAUAACUGACGCUGAGGAGCGAAAGCGUGGGUAGCAAACAGGAUUAGAUACCCCUGUAGUC